rnacentral:rRNA from 1 species
CGUAGGUGGCAAGCGUUGUCCGGAUUUAUUGGGUUUAAAGGGUGCGCAGGCGGCCCUGUAAGUCAGUGGUGAAAUAUCUCAGCUUAACUGAGAGGGUGCCAUUGAUACUGCGGGGCUUGAGUACAGAUGAGGUAGGCGGAAUUGACGGUGUAGCGGUGAAAUGCAUAGAUAUCGUCAAGAACACCGAUAGCGAAGGCAGCUUACCAAGCUGUAACUGACGCUGAGGCACGAAAGUGUGGGGAUCAAACAGGAUUAGAUACCCUGGUAGUCCACACUGUAAACGUUGAUGACUCGAUGUUGGCGAUACACAGCCAGCGUCCAAGAGCAAUCGUUAAGUCAUCACCUGGGGAGUACGCCGGCAACGGUG